CCGUAGCGCCGAUGGUAGUGUGGGGUCUCCCCAUGCGAGAGUAGGACACUGCCAGGCAUCAAAUUUAGUUGUGCUGAUAUGGCUCAGUUGGUAGAGCGCACCCUUGGUAAGGGUGAGGUCCCCAGUUCGACUCUGGGUAUCAGCACCAG
rnacentral:tRNA from 1 species